GUCAGGAUGGCCGAGCGGUCUAAGGCGCCAGACUCAAGGUUCAUACCUUCUCGGUUCGAGGCCGAGUACCGGGCUUUCUGGUCCUCUCUGAGGGCGUGGGUUCGAAUCCCACUUCUGACA
rnacentral:tRNA from 1 species